UCCAGACUCCUACGGGAGGCAGCAGUGAGGAAUAUUGGUCAAUGGCCGGGAGGCUGAACCAGCCAAGUCGCGUGAGGGAAGACGGCCCUACGGGUUGUAAACCUCUUUUGUCAGGGAGCAAGGUGCAGGUCGGGACCUGCUGUGAGAGUACCUGAAGAAAAAGCAUCGGCUAACUCCGUGCCAGCAGCCGCGGUAAUACGGAGGAUGCGAGCGUUAUCCGGAUUUAUUGGGUUUAAAGGGUGCGCAGGCGGAGGCACAAGUCAGGGGUAAAAUCGCGGGGCUCACCCCCGCUCCGCCGUUGAAACUGUGUCCCUUGAGUGCGCGAAGGGUAGGCGGAAUGCGUGGUGUAGCGGUGAAAUGCGUAGAUAUCAGGAGGAACACCGGCGGCGAAGGCGGCCUGUUGGACCGUGACUGACGUUGAGGCUCGAGAGCGUGGGGAGCAAACAGGAUUAGAUACCCCCGUACC
rnacentral:rRNA from 1 species